GAUGAACGCUAGCUACAGGCUUAACACAUGCAAGUCGAGGGGCAGCAUGUCGGUUGCUUGCAACCGAUGAUGGCGACCGGCGCACGGGUGAGUAACGCGUAUCCAACCUACCCUUGUCCAUCGGAUAACCCGUCGAAAGGCGGCCUAACACGAUAUGCGGUUCUCAGCAGGCAUCUAACGAGAACGAAAUGUGAAGGAGAAGGAUGGGGAUGCGUCUGAUUAGCUUGUUGGCGGGGUAACGGCCCACCAAGGCGACGAUCAGUAGGGGUUCUGAGAGGAAGGUCCCCCACAUUGGAACUGAGACACGGUCCAAACUCCUACGGGAGGCAGCAGUGAGGAAUAUUGGUCAAUGGACGGGAGUCUGAACCAGCCAAGUAGCGUGCAGGAUGACGGCCCUAUGGGUUGUAAACUGCUUUUAUAGGGGGAUAAAGUGUGCCACGUGUGGCAUAUUGCAGGUACCCUAUGAAUAAGGACCGGCUAAUUCCGUGCCAGCAGCCGCGGUAAUACGGAAGGUCCGGGCGUUAUCCGGAUUUAUUGGGUUUAAAGGGAGCGUAGGCCGUCUUAUAAGCGUGUUGUGAAAUGUCGGGGCUCAACCUGGGCAUUGCAGCGCGAACUGUGAGACUUGAGUGCGCAGGAAGUAGGCGGAAUUCGUCGUGUAGCGGUGAAAUGCUUAGAUAUGACGAAGAACUCCGAUUGCGAAGGCAGCCUGCUGUAGCGCAACUGACGCUGAAGCUCGAAAGCGUGGGUAUCGAACAGG
rnacentral:rRNA from 1 species